AGUUCUUCAGUCAUUCAACCCAUAAUUAAUAAAACAGUAAUAUAUGCACUCAAAACUAUAAAAUGAACACAUCAAACCUCAUAAUGCAUUUAAAGCUGUAAAACAAGCCAAAUAACAGUAAAUCAUAAAUCACACUAGACUUGGGCUCCAUUAGCAACCUUAAGCAAUUUCACACAUGCGUUAAUUCAAGAAAUACCGUUUUAUCAUUUUGAACUUUAAUACCGUGAUAGGAAAUAAGGUGAGGGGUCCUUACUUGUUUUCGGGAUCCGAAUACGAUUCACAGUGCGCCUGCAGGCUGUCCCUAAUUUUC
rnacentral:lncRNA from 1 species